AUAUGUCAAUAAGUGCAUAAGCACAAGUCAACAUUCCAUUCCAUUCAAGAGUUUGUGUAAAGUACUCUGGGAUCCAGGUCAACCCACGGGUGGGAGACCGACUGCCGACCGUAAAAGCCGGCGAAUCCCAAAGUCUAAGGUGCACUGGUGUGUGGAUUUGCGACUGACGUGCACAUGCGACCUGAAGGCCACCAGCACAGCCAAGCGACUUGUAAUUCGGUAAUGAUCCUUCCGCAGGUUCACCUACGGAAA
rnacentral:misc_RNA from 1 species